UAGAAAGGUAACGAAAGUGGCGAACGGGUGAGUAACACGUGAGCAACCUGCCUUACACAGGGGGAUAGCCAUUGGAAACGGUGAUUAAUACCCCAUAAGACCACAAUACCGCAUGGUAAAAAGGGGUAAAAAGGGAUACCGGUGUAAGAUGGGCUCGCGUCUGAUUAGCUAGUUGGUGGGGUAAAGGCCUACCAAGGCGACGAUCAGUAGCCGGUCUGAGAGGAUGAACGGCCACAUUGGAACUGAGACACGGUCCAAACUCCUACGGGAGGCAGCAGCC
rnacentral:rRNA from 1 species